ACGCGUUGGCCCAACUGAUUGAACGUGCUUGCACGGACUUGACGUUGGUUUACCAGCGAGUGGCGGACGGGUGAGCUCACACGUAGGUAACCUGCCCCAAAGCGGGGGAUAACAUUUGGAAACAGAUGCUAAUACCGCAUAACAAUUUGAAUCGCAUGAUUCAAAUUUAAAAGAUGGCUUCGGCUAUCACUUUGGGAUGGACCUGCGGCGCAUUAGCUUGUUGGUAGGGUAACGGCCUACCAAGGCUGUGAUGCGUAGCCGAGUUGAGAGACUGAUCGGCCACAAUGGAACUGAGACACGGUCCAUACUCCUACGGGAGGCAGCAGUAGGGAAUCUUCCACAAUGGGCGCAAGCCUGAUGGAGCAACACCGCGUGAGUGAAGAAGGGUUUCGGCUCGUAAAGCUCUGUUGUUAGAGAAGAACGUGCGUGAGAGCAACUGUUCACGCAGUGACGGUAUCUAACCAGAAAGUCACGGCUAACUACGUGCCAGCAGCCGCGGUAAUACGUAGGUGGCAAGCGUUAUCCGGAUUUAUUGGGCGUAAAGCGAGCGCAGGCGGUUUGAUAAGUCUGAUGUGAAAGCCUUUGGCUUAACCAAAGAAGUGCAUCGGAAACUGUCAGACUUGAGUGCAGAAGAGGACAGUGGAACUCCAUGUGUAGCGGUGGAAUGCGUAGAUAUAUGGAAGAACACCAGUGGCGAAGGCGGCUGUCUGGUCUGCAACUGACGCUGAGGCUCGAAAGCAUGGGUAGCGAACAGGAUUAGAUACCCUGGUAGUCCAUGCCGUAAACGAUGAGUGCUAGGUGUUGGAGGGUUUCCGCCCUUC
rnacentral:rRNA from 1 species